GACGAACGCUGGCGGCGUGCCUAAUACAUGCAAGUCGAACGCAGUGGGGACGGGUGAGUAACAAGUGGGUAACCUCCCAUCAGAGGGGAGAACACUUGGCAACAGGUGCUAAACCGAUACUGAUUGAUGGAGUCGGGGUGCAUUAGCCAGUCGGUGGGGUAACGGCUCACCAAGGCCACGAUGCAUAGCCGACCUGAGAGGGUGAUCGGCCACACUGGGACUGAGACACGGCCCAGACUCCUACGGGAGGCAGCAGUAGGGAAUCUUCGGCAAUGGACGAAAGUCUGACCGAGCAACGCCGCGUGAGUGAAGAAGGUUUUCGGAUCGUAAAACUCUGUUGUUAGGGAGGCGGUAUCUAACCAGAAAGCCACGGCUAACUACGUGCCAGCAGCCGCGGUAAUAC
rnacentral:rRNA from 1 species